AUGCGCGGCACAGCCCGGCACGGCUCGGCACAGCCCGGCUCGCCUCUACACCCGGCGCGGCGCCUGGCGGGGGAGGAGGAGGAGGAGGAGGAGGUGGUGGCGGAGGAAGAGGAGGAGGAGGAGGAGCGGCGGCAUCGCCGUGGCUUCGGCGGAGCCGUGUGCGGUGCCGCCUCCGGCGGGCAUAGCGGUAUUAUAGCGGGCGGCGGUGCCGCUCCGCUGCACGGAGCCAAUGGCAGGGGGACAGCGGGACGGCGGCGGCCGGGGGGGGACAGCGGCCACACAGCCCCGGGGGGGGGGACAGCGGCCGCACCGCACCGCCACGGCAGGAAGCGACAAAUCAUGGAGGCGCCUUGCUCCGAGGAGACUUUUCUAUCUGCUCUACUUCCCACCCUACGGCGAGCAGCACGACUUGACAGGUGUCAUUCAUCCCUCUCAGCCUGCAGUACUUUGGAAGGGAUCCUGGAAAUGCCAAAAGCACUAAGUUUUGACAGCCCCGAGACAGGAAAAUCUCCAAGGAGUUCCUGUGUAAAACUGCAAAGAUCAGCUCAAGGAACUGGAUAUGGAUUUGAGAGACCUUGUGGAGAACUUCUGAACUAG
rnacentral:lncRNA from 1 species